GUUUAAUCGCUGUAGUUAGCUAUUGGCCUCAUGGUCCUAGCGGAGCUUCACUUGGACACGUCCAUCUUGCUCCGGCUGCAGACCAUGCCACACAGAAGGCUUUUGAAGACUUUAGCAAGCUAUUAACAAAGCAGGAGACAUUCUAAAUUAGAUUGUGUAAUAAGGGUAGCAAAAAUAUUUAGACACAUUUCCAGGAAGUGAUAGAG